UUCCGGUUGAUCCUGCCGGAGGCUACCGCUAUUGGAGUUCGAUUAAGCCAUGCGAGUCGAGAGUCUUAGGGACUCGGCGUACCGCUCAGUAACACGUGGGUAACCUGCCCUAUGCUGGGGAAUAACCUCGGGAAACUGAGAAUAAUGCCCCAUAGUCCACUACGCCUGGAACGGUGAGUGGAUGAAAGCUCCGGCGGCAUAGGAUGGGCCUGCGCCGUAUCAGGUUGUAGGGGGUGUAAAGUACCCUCUAGCCAUCAACGCGUACGGGUGUUGGGAGACAUUGCCCGGAGAUGGAUUCUGAGACACGAAUCCAGACCCUACGGGGUGCAGCAGGCGCGAAAACUUGGCAAUGCGAGCAAUCGUGACCAGGGAACUCCAAGUGCUUGGGGUAAGACCCAAGCUUUUCUUGACUCUUCAAAGGUCUUGGAAUAAGGGGUGGGUAAGGACGGUGCCAGCCGCCGCGGUAAUACCGGCGCCUCAAGUGGUAGUCGCUUUUAUUGGGCCUAAAACGUCCGUAGCCGGUCUGGUGCAUUCGUGGGUAAAUCAACCCGCUCAACGGGUUGAAUUCUGCGAGCACGGCCAGACUUGGGACCGGGAGAGGUGUGGGGUACUCUCAGGGUAGGGGUAAAAUCCUGUCAUCCUGAGAGGACCACCUGUUGCGAAGGCGCCACACUAGAACGGAUCCGACGGUCAGGGACGAAACCUAGGGGCACGAACCGGAUUAGAUACCCGGGUAGUCCUAGGUGUAAACGCUGUGGACUUGAUGUUGGGGACGCUCCGAGCGCUUUCAGUGUCGAAGCGAAGGGUGAUAAGUCCACUGCCUGGGGAGUACGGUCGCAAGGCUGAAACUUAAAGGAAUUGGCGGGGGAGCACUGCAACCUGAGGAUUGUGCGGUUUAAUUGGAUUCAACGCCCGGA
rnacentral:rRNA from 1 species